GGGAUAUAUGCAAAGCACGUAACCCAUAAUAGACACAAGAUGUGAAUUCCUUCCCUCAUUGUUCGCCUUUCUUUCAGUGACAGAUUUAAUUACCAUUUCUGCAGGCCACACUGUAUGGAGAGUCCAGGGGAAAAAGGGAGGCCCAGAUAUUCUCACUGAGGGAGAUCAGCCCUGAGCUAAAAUCUGCCACAAAUCCUCCUCUUUUUGCUGAGGAAGACUGGCCCUGGGCUAACAUGCAUGCCUAUCUUCCUCUACUUUAUAUGCGGGAUGCCUGCCACAGCAUGGCUUGAUAAGUGGUGCAUAGGUCCGCACCCAGGAUCCAAACUGGUGAACCCUGGGCUGCCGAAGCGGAGCAUGCUGACUUAACCGCUAUGCCACUAGGCCAGCCCCUCCUAGCUAAUUUUUUUUAAUAACAGUUUUAAAACUUUGUGAUAUAUAUAUUAAUCCAAGGAGGAAGAAAAUUAUGUGAUUGGCUUAACAUCACUCAGUUAAAAAUAAAUUCUUCGUUACUAAACUUAAAAAUACUAUUUCAUGGGCUGGCCCCGUGGCCGAGUGGUUAAGUUCGCGCGCUCCGCUGCAGGCGGCCCAGUGUUUUGUUGGUUCGAAUCCUGGGCGCGGACAUGGCACUGCUCGUCAGACCACGCUGAGGCAGCGUCCCACAUACCACAACUAGAAGAACCCACAACGAGAAAUAUACAAC
rnacentral:lncRNA from 1 species